UGGGGAAUAUUGGACAAUGGGCGAAAGCCUGAUCCAGCCAUGCCGCGUGUGUGAAGAAGGUCUUCGGAUUGUAAAGCACUUUAAGUUGGGAGGAAGGGCAGUAAGCGAAUACCUUGCGGUUUUGACGUUACCGACAGAAUAAGCACCGGCUAACUCUGUGCCAGCAGCCGCGGUAAUACAGAGGGUGCAAGCGUUAAUCGGAAUUACUGGGCGUAAAGCGCGCGUAGGUGGUUCGUUAAGUUGAAUGUGAAAGCCCCGGGCUCAACCAGGGAACUGCAUCCAAAACUGGCGAGCUAGAGUAGGGCAGAGGGUGGUGGAAGUUCCUGUGUAGCGGUGAAAUGCGUAGAUAUAGGAAGGAACACCAGUGGCGGAGGCGACCACCUGGGCUCAUACUGACACUGAGGUGCGAAAGCGUGGGGAGCAAACAGG
rnacentral:rRNA from 1 species